rnacentral:rRNA from 1 species
UACGUAGGGUGCAAGCGUUGUCCGGAAUUUAUUGGGCGUAAAGAGCUCGUAGGCGGUUUGUCGCGUCUGCUGUGAAAACCCGAGGCUCAACCUCGGGCCUGCAGUGGGUACGGGCAGACUAGAGUGCGGUAGGGGAGAAUGGAAUUCCUGGUGUAGCGGUGGAAUGCGCAGAUAUCAGGAGGAACACCGAUGGCGAAGGCAGUUCUCUGGGCCGUAACUGACGCUGAGGAGCGAAAGCGUGGGGAGCGAACAGG